GUUAAUGGCUACAAUACUGGCCACUAUGAUUUAAUCUAGUUAGUGACUGCUGCAAAAGGCACCACCAGUAAGGUCACCAUCCUCUCUGGAGUAUUGCCUAUGAUGCUCUCUCAGGGGCCCAGAUGGAGACACCUUGGCCUGUCCAGCUUGAGACUCUAAAAGUAGGUUGGUGAGGAAGGAGUUAGGGGCUCAGGCCCUAAGAAAUACCUCUGAUUCAGGGGAGAAGAUAGAAGAAUGUAGAAAGAAUCCAGGGAGGAAAGCAGGAACUGGGCCUGGAAACCUCCCUUUCCUCUCCCUCCCUCCCCUAGUCCCCUCUCCACCUCACCUACUGUGUAACUCAAUGCUCACCUU
rnacentral:lncRNA from 1 species